rnacentral:rRNA from 1 species
UCCCAUAUGGUCGACCUGCAGGCGGCCGCACUAGUGAUUCGAUUAAGCCAUGCAAGUCGAGAGGGUUCGGCCCUCGGCGUACUGCUCAGUAACACGUGGAUAACCUGCCCUAGGGAAGGGGAUAAUCCCGGGAAACUGGGGAUAAUACCCUAUAGGUUACAGAUGCUGGAAUGCUCUGUAAUCAAAAGUUCCGGCGCCCUAGGAUGGAUCUGCGGCCGAUUAGGUUGUUGUUGGGGUAAUGGCCCAACAAGCCAGUAAUCGGUACGGGUUGUGGGAGCAAGAGCCCGGAGUUGGAUUCUGAGACACGAAUCCAGGCCCUACGGGGCGCAGCAGGCGCGAAAACUUUACAAUGCGGGCAACCGUGAUAAGGGAACCUCGAGUGCCUGUAAAUGCAGGCUGUUCAGAUGCCUAAAACACAUCUGGAGAAAGGGCCGGGCAAGACCGGUGCCAGCCGCCGCGGUAAUACCGGCGGCUCGAGUGGUGGCCACUUUUAUUGGGCUUAAAGCGUUCGUAGCUGGGUUGUUAAGUCUCUUGGGAAAUCUGGCGGCUUAACCGUCAGGCGUCUAAGGGAUACUGGCAAUCUUGGAACCGGGAGAGGUGAGGGGUACUUCGGGGGUAGGAGUGAAAUCCUGUAAUCCUCGAGGGACCACCUGUGGCGAAGGCGCCUCACCAGAACGGCUUCGACAGUGAGGGACGAAAGCUGGGGGAGCAAACCGGAUUAGAUACCCGGGUAGUCCCAGCCGUAAACUAUGCGCGUUAGGUGUAUCGGUGACCACGAGUUACCGAGGUGCCGAAGGGAAACCGUGAAACGUGCCGCCUGGGAAGUACGGUCGCAAGGCUGAAACUUAAAGGAAUUGGCGGGGGAGCAAAUCCCGCGGCCA